rnacentral:rRNA from 1 species
CCAAUAGCGUAUAUUAAAGUUGUUGCAGUUAAAAAGCUCGUAGUUGAAUUUCGGGAUCAGUACGCUGGUCGUGCCUUUGGUAUGUACUGGUGUCACUGAUUCCUUCCUUCUGAAGAACCGUUAUGCCAUUUAUUUGGUGUGGCGGGGAAUCAGGACUGUUACUUUGAAAAAAUUAGAGUGUUUAAAGCAGGCUCGCGCUUGAAUACAUUAGCAUGGAAUAAUGGAAUAGGACGUUUUAUCGUAUUUUGUUGGUUUCUAGGAUCGACGUAAUGAUUAAUAGGGAUAGUUGGGGGCAUUAGUAUUCAAUUGUCAGAGGUGGAAUUCUUGGAUUUAUUGAAGACUAACUACUGCGAAAGCAUUUGCCAAGGAUGUUUUCAUUAAUCAAGAACGAAAGUUAGGGGAUCGAAGACGAUCAGAUACCGUCGUAGUCUUAACCAUAAACUAUGCCGACUAGGGAUCGGAUGAUGUUAUUUUUAAUGACUCAUUCGGCGCCUUACG